AGUUCCGAGAAUUUUUAGAUUGCAAAUCUAAAGCAGCAGAUUGACUUCAGCCGGGGCUU
rnacentral:tRNA from 1 species